GUGGGGAAUAUUGGACAAUGGGCGAAAGCCUGAUCCAGCCAUGCCGCGUGUGUGAAGAAGGUCUUCGGAUUGUAAAGCACUUUAAGUUGGGAGGAAGGGCAGUAAGUUAAUACCUUGCUGUUUUGACGUUACCGACAGAAUAAGCACCGGCUAACUUCGUGCCAGCAGCCGCGGUAAUACGUAGGGUGCAAGCGUUAAUCGGAAUUACUGGGCGUAAAGCGUGCGCAGGCGGUUAUAUAAGACAGAUGUGAAAUCCCCGGGCUCAACCUGGGAACUGCCUCCAAAACUGCAUGACUAGAGUACGGUAGAGGGUAGUGGAAUUUCCUGUGUAGCGGUGAAAUGCGUAGAUAUAGGAAGGAACACCAGUGGCGAAGGCGACUACCUGGACUGAUACUGACACUGAGGUGCGAAAGCGUGGGGAGCAAACAGGAUUAGAUACCCCUGUAGUCC
rnacentral:rRNA from 1 species